rnacentral:rRNA from 1 species
AUUGAACGCUGGCGGCAGGCCUAACACAUGCAAGUCGAACGAGUGGCGGACGGGUGAGUAAUGUCUGGGAAACUGCCUGAUGGCGGGGGAUAACUACUGGAAACGGUAGAUAAUACCGCAUAACAUCAGAUGUGCCCAGAUGGGAUUAGCUAGUUGGUGGGGUAACGGCGCACAAAGGCGACGCUCCCUAGCUGGUCUGAGAGGAUGACCGGCCACACUGGAACUGAGACACGGUCCAGACUCCUACGGGAGUCAGCAGUGGGGAAUAUUGCACAAUGGGCGCAAGCCUGAUGCAGCCAUGCCGCGUGUAUGAAGAAGGCCGUCGAGUUGUAAAGUACUUUCAGCGGGGAGGCGUUACCCGCAGAAGAAGCACCGGCUAACUCCGUGCCAGCCGCCGCGGUAAUAC